AGCCCAACAGCUAGCCUAAACAACCAAAAACAACAACUAAACAUAAAUAAACCCUAACACACCCAACAACCCCAAACAAACCAUUUUACCCCUUUAGUAUAGGCGAUAGAAAAAGAUAUUUGAGCGAUAGAAAAAGUACCGCAAGGGAAAGCUGAAAGAGAAGUGAAACAACCCAGUAAAGCCCGACAAAGCAGAGAUCGCACCUCGUACCUUUUGCAUCAUGAUUUAGCCAGUACUCCCUAAGCAAAAAGAAUUUUAGUUUAGCACCCCGAAACUAAGUGAGCUACUCCAAGACAGCCUAUUAAUAGGGCGCACCCGUCUCUGUGGCAAAAGAGUGGGAAGAGCUUCGAGUAGAGGUGACAGACCUACCGAACUUAGUUAUAGCUGGUUGCCUGAGAAUUGGAUAGAAGUUCAGCCCUUUACAUUCUUCAAUCAAAUAAAAACACACGCACACACCGACCAAAAGAACUGUAAAAGAGUUAGUUAAAGGAGGUACAGCUCCUUUGACACAAGAUACAACUUUACCAGGAGGAUUAAGAUCAUAUAAGAUUAAGGGACCCGUGUUUUGGUGGGCCUAAAAGCAGCCACCCUAAUAGAAAGCGUUAAAGCUCGGACACAAAACCCCCCAUCAAUCCCGAUUACAUCUCUGAGUCCCCUAGCUACUACCAGGCCUUCCUAUGCCCCCAUAGGACUGAUUAUGCUAAUAUGAGUAAUAAGAAAGAAAAGUCUUUCUCCAAGCACAAGUGUACAUCGGAACGAACCCCCACCGAACAUUAAAGGCCCCAACCAAAGAGGGCAUUGAAAACAUUUCAGAUUCACAAGAAGAACACUCAACCACAAACCUUUAACCCCACACUGGCGUGCCCCAAGGAAAAACUAAAAGAGAAAGAAGGAACUCGGCAAGCACAAGCCUCGCCUGUUUACCAAAAACAUCGCCUCUUGAACUCCCUAUAUAAGAGGUCCCGCCUGCCCUGUGACUAUAUGUUUAACGGCCGCGGUAUCUUAACCGUGCAAAGGUAGCGCAAUCACUUGUCUUUUAAAUAAAGACCUGUAUGAAUGGCACGACGAGGGCUUAACUGUCUCCUUUCUCAAGUUAAUGAAAUUGACCCCCCCGUGCAGAGGCGGGGAUACGAACAUAAGACGAGAAGACCCUAUGGAGCUUCAGGCACCAAGGCUGAUCAUGUAAAAAACCUGCAUAAAAGAAUAUAACUUUAUGAAACCAGCUUAACUGCCUUCGGUUGGGGCGACCGCGGGGAAGCAAAAAACCCCCAUGUGGACUGGGGCCACUUCGGCCCCACAAACAAGAGCUCCCGCUCUAGUUAACAGAACUUCUGACCCUACCGAUCCGGCCUUUGGCCGAUCAACGAACCGAGUUACCCUAGGGAUAACAGCGCAAUCCCCUUAUAGAGCCCAUAUCGACAAGGGGGUUUACGACCUCGAUGUUGGAUCAGGAUGUCCUAAUGGUGCAGCCGCUAUUAAGGGUUCGUUUGUUCAACGAUUAAAAUCCUACGUGAUCUGAGUUCAGACCGGAGCAAUCCAGGUCGGUUUCUAUCUAUGAUGCAAUUUGUUUCAGUACGAAAGGACCAAAAAAAUGAGGCCUCUGUUUUCGACAAGCCUCCCCCUCACUUACUGACCCCUACUUAAGUAAGCAAGAGGGUGCCCCCUCCCGCCAUAGAACAUGGCAU
rnacentral:rRNA from 1 species